GAGUUUGAUCCUGGCUCAGGACGAACGCUGGCGGCGCGCUUAACACAUGCAAGUCGAGCGAGAUCCAGGCCUUCGGGCCUGGGGAAAGCGGCGAACGGGUGAGUAACACGUGGGUAAUCAACCCUCGACACUGGGAUAGCCCGGGGAAACCCGGAUUAAUACCGGAUGGCCCUUUGGAUCUUCGGAUCUGACGGGAAAGGUAGCUUCGGCCUCCGGUCGAGGACGAGCCCGCGGCGGAUUAGCUUGUUGGUGAGGUAACGGCUCACCAAGGCGACGAUCCGUAGCUGGUCUGAGAGGACGAUCAGCCACACUGGGACUGAGACACGGCCCAGACUCCUACGGGAGGCAGCAGUGGGGAAUCUUGCGCUAAUGCGGGAAACCGUGACGCAGCGACGCCGCGUGAGGGAAGAAGGCCUUCGGGUUGUAAACCUCUUUCAGGAGGGACGAAGCCACUCGGGUGAAUAGCCCAGAGGGUGACGGUACCUCCAGAAGAAGCCCCGGCUAACUACGUGCCAGCAGCCGCGGUAAUACGUAGGGGGCAAGCGUUGUCCGGAUUUAUUGGGCGUAAAGAGCGUGUAGGCGGCUAGGUAGGUCCGUUGUGAAAACUCGAGGCUCAACCUCGAGACGCCGGUGGAAACCAUCUAGCUAGAGUCCGGAAGAGGAGAGUGGAAUUCCUGGUGUAGCGGUGAAAUGCGCAGACAUCAGGAAGAACACAUCGUGUAGAGCGUGGCUCUCCAGUAUAUGUAAUACUGUGAGAUGCGAAAGCGUGGGGAUCUCACAGUCAGUCAUACACCAGUAGAUCCGCGCUGUAACACGGGUGUUCUAGGUGAUAUGCGGUGUCGUCUCCGUCCCUGCAGAAGCUACAGCAUUAUGCUCCGGACUUGAGGAGUACGGUCUCAAGGGUAGUAUUGAAAGUAAGCGUCGAGUUUUCGCACAAGCAGUGGAUCAUGGCGUUCACUUUGUCUAGACGCGAUGAACCCUGACAGGGCUUGACACGCACGUGAAUGUGGGAGAAAUGCCGCAUACUUACGGGGGUCGUGCUCAGGAGGUGCAGUCCCCUUGUCAGCUAUUCUCGUGAGAGGCUUGGUUAAUUCUGAAAGAGAGCGCAACCCGAAGGCUAUGUUCCCACCGUGAAAGACGGGGACUCAUAGGAGACCGCAUUAGACAAAGGGAGGAAGGUGGGGACGACGUCAAGUCAUCAUGCCCCUUUCAGUCUGCAGUACAAACAUCGUCCAUUCAGACCACAAAGGGAUGCAAACCUGGGAGGGUGAGCGAAUCCCAAACAACCGGUCCCGGUUGGGAUGAAGGCUGAAACUAGCCUUCAGGAAGGCGGAGUUUCUGAUAAGAAGAUAUCAAGGACCAUCCGGUGAUUAUGUUGGCGGGCCCGGUACACACCAGCCGUCACGGCUGGAAAGUUGGCAAUACUCGAACCCUGUGCCCUUUCCCCCAAGGGAGGGAGCCGUAUAAGGUAGGGUUGACGAGUGGUGAGAAGUCGUAACAAGGUAGCCGUAGCGGCAGCAGCGGCUGGAUCACCUCCUUUCU
rnacentral:rRNA from 1 species